CAUACGACUCUCGGCAACGGAUAUCUCGGCUCUCGCAUCGAUGAAGAACGUAGCGAAAUGCGAUACUUGGUGUGAAUUGCAGAAUCCCGUGAACCAUCGAGUCUUUGAACGCAAGUUGCGCCCGAGGCCUUUCGGUUGAGGGCACGCCUGCCUGGGCGUCACGC
rnacentral:rRNA from 1 species